AAACUUGAAUUUCAGAUAUGCAAUGAAAAAUGUUUGGAUAAGUAUGUCCUAUGCAACACUCGAGAUAUAUUAAUACUUAUACUAAGAAAUUACUGUCCGGUCGUGGUGGCUCACGCCUGUAAUCCCAGCACUUUGGGAGGCCGAGGCAGGUGGAUCACCUGAGGUCAGGAGUUCGAGACCAGCCUGGCGAACACAGUAGAACCCCCAUCUCUACUAAAAAUACAAAAAAUUAGCUGGGCGUGGUGGCGGGCGCCUGUAGUCCCAGUUACUCAGGGGCUAAGGCAGGAGAAUCGCUUGAACCCAGGAGGCAGAGGUUGCAGUGAGCCGAGAUCACGCCAUUGUACUCCAGCCUGGGCAACUAGAGCGAAACUCCGCUUCAAAAAAAAAUUACUCGUGGGUUCUCUGCAUUCCAAUUUUAGUGGGCAUCUUGCGUGUUAUCUCUACCCCUAUUUGGGGAGGGCUUUAUUUUCCUCAAUGGCGUCCCCACAUCAGGGCCUGUGUCUUGCACUCUCCCCCUGAGCGGGUAGCAGAGGCGUUAUCACAGAAGGAAGGUUCUGGGGAGUUGAAUCACAACAGGCCUCCGCCGCUAGCAGGGCGGGCGCGCCAGGGACUAGGCCGCUUGGCAGGUUCGCUUUUCUUCUUUCCAUUGCGCUGAACUCAAGGAGGAGGAGGAAAGUGGGAGCUGCUGCACUCACGGCUGAGUGUGCAUGGCUGGUAGGUGACAGCCUGAGGUCUGUUCGGUGACCCCGGCCCCUCGGAGGGCCCGCGGAGACUCAGAAUUAGCUGCACCUACCACGGUGCCCGCGGGUCGGGGUGCGGAUCCACACCCCAGAGGAAGGCCGCUCCCGGGCCGCGAGGACCUCGCUGGCGGCCGCUUGGGGCAGCAGACGCCCGCCCUGCGGGGAGGUGGGGCCUGCAGGCCGCGGGGCCGCUCUCGGAGCCCGGCAGGCCUGAGCAGGUCGGGGCGCGUGUUCCGGAAGCCCGGCCCCGGGCGCUGUGAGGGGCACCUGGGGACGCUCCGCGAGUCUGUGUCCCAGCGUGAGCUCAGCGGAAGACUGCAGAGUCCUGGGCCCACGAGUAGCUGUCCUGAUGUUGUGAGGCGGUGUCUCACUGUAUCCUGCGCCGUUUUGAUGAAGGAACAUCAGAUCACGCUUCCUCUGCUGAACACCCUCUCAAGAGUAAAAGCCUCGGCCUUCCUGGUGGCCUCCCAAGCCUGAAGGAUUCCCAGUGACCUCUGGCCUCAUCUCUGGAUGAUGCCCUGUCCUUCCCCCAAGCUGUUUCCCAAGCCCACCUAGCAGCCCCGAUGUCCUUCUGUAUCUGCCUGAUGUCUCCGCUUCACCAGGACUUCAUAUAAGGUCAGAUCUUCAGAAAGGACUUCUCUGUUACUCCUACAAAAUCAGCAGUCCCUCCUCUGUCUCUGAAUCCCUCACUUGGUCUGCAGUCUUUCUUCUCUGCUGUAUAUGGAGCAUCCAGAAAUGCCACCUGGCACAUAGUAGGUGCUUAGUAUUUGCCAAAUGAAUGAAAGGAAACUAUACUGAACUAUAAACUAAGACUUCUGAGAGUUGGUGACAUUUUUAGAUAUGAAUUUAUAGCCAGAUUCUUACCAAAUUCUAUUUGUUUUCAGUGGAUUCUCCUGGGUUUCCUGGUAUGUAAUCAUAUCAUCUACAAAUAAUGACAAUUUUCCUAUACUCCCCCCUUCUUUCCUUUUUUAUAUUUUCCAGUAUAAUAAAUAACAGGGGUGAUAGCAACAGCUUUAUCUUGCUUCUGACCUUCCAUGAAGUGUCUCUGAAAUUCCACCGUGGAUGGCAAGUUAGUGUUGGCGUUAGAUCUGAGGGAUGAAUUUUGUCAUGCUGAGGAAGUACCACGGGCUCCUGUUUUACUCAGGAUGCUUUGGUUACAGCCAAGGAAGAAUGAAGGGUUAAUGCUCGUCAGCCCUCUUCAGCACCUACUGGGUAUUAAACUUUCUCUUUGACUCCUUAGUGUGGGCAUUAUGUGGAUGGGUUUCCUACAGUUGGACCGUCCUUGUGUCUUUACCUUUUAAACCCAGAUGUGUCCCUGCGAUGUGCAGCGAGCCCUUGUGGGCAGGGCCAGCCAUGUCCCCUCAUCCCUUGGUCCCCUCAGGAGGCUUGCUGGGAACCGAGGCUGGCUGCGGUGGCAAACUUCCCGGCGAGCCACUCAGGAUGGCUUAUUGUUUCUGAAUUAAACAAACGAAGAAUGAGAUUCAAUUAGAGGCAGCAUAAUGUAAACCGAGAUGGAUUU
ensembl:lncRNA